rnacentral:lncRNA from 1 species
GCUCUUUCCCCCAUGCAGAGUUAAGAUUACUAUUUAAUAUGACAGGUCCUUAUCUAACACUCACUUUUUGCCCUCCCUCAACCACAUUCCUGAUGCAAGAUUAGUUCUUAGGCUAUAGUAUAGAUGUAGUCUAAGUUACAAGACUUGUCAUAUUCGAUUCCACAAUUGUGGUGAAUUCUUCAAAUACACUACUUUUGGGGAAUAUGACACCUACGCCCUUUUAUAUCAUUGAAGAGUC